UGUCUAAUUGGAAUAGAAACACAUACAGUUGAUAGAAUACCUGAUUGAUUCUCUGAUUUGUGGAGUGAGAUCUAUUAUGGUUGGAAAAGCCAAGCGGAAUCCAUCAGAACUGCUUCUAUCAUGGAAAACAGACAAUGCAAAGCAGCACUGAACCUGUGGAGAGAUGGAGGAGAUUGGUGUCACAAUCAAGGACUUUAAAGAUGUGUGGGUGAUGAUUCCUACCACAUACCCAUUCAAUUUGCCUAUUCAGUCCUUGCAAAAGACAGAUGGAUCUUAGAGAAUGCCAGUGGAUUAUCAUAGACUUAAGCAAGUGGGGACUUCCAUUUCAGCUGCUGUACCAGAUUGCAGUUUCACUGCUUGAGCUAAAAUUAAUGCAUCUCCUGGUACCUGGUAUGCAGAUAGAAACUGGUAAAUCUAUUUUUUUCUUCUUAGCUGUUCAUGAAGAUCACUAUACGUGGCAAAGCCAAAACUGCUACUUCACUGUCCUACCUUAGGGAUAUAUCAACCCUCAUCCUCUAGCCCUAUAUCAAAAUUUAGUUUUCAGUGAUCUUGAUUGCCUUUUAAUUCCCUACAGGAAUCAUACUGGUCAUUAAUCUGAGUGGACCUAGUUAAUUAAAAGAAGCAAAUACUCUAUACUUAUUGGUGGACUUUUUCGUGUAGGAGAUUGAGGAGCACAACUGACAAAAAGGGACUUUCUAUCUCAUUGAAAUGUCUAUGGGCCCAGUAUGUGUGGCAUAUUGAAAUGAAAGAUGAGUUGUUGCAUCUGGCCUUUCUAUGACCACAGAAGUUAUGCCUAGUGCACCUCUUCGGAUUUUGGAGAUAACAUUUUCCUCAAUUAGAAUGUUACCCCAGCCCAUUAACCUGGUGAUCUGAAAAAGUUUCUAGUUUUGAGUGGAGCCCAGAUGAAGAGAAGUCUCUGCAACAGAUCCAGACUACCUUACAAGCCGCUUCACCACUUGGUCCAGCUGGAUCCACUUGAGCCAUGUGACCCAGCAGAUCCAAUGAUGCUUAAAGCGGCAGUGGCAGAUAGGGAUGCUAUUUGUGGCCUCUAUAGGUGAAUUAAAGCACAGGGUCUUAGGAUUUUGCAGCAAAGCUGUACUAUCCUUCACAGAUAAUUAUUCUCCUUUCGAGAAACAACUCUUAGGGAGCUAUUGGGUACUAAGCAUGGACAAAGUUACCACGCAAUCUAAACUGCCUGGCAUGAACUAGGUGUUGUAUGACCCACAAAUACAUAAACUUGGACAUGUAUAUCAGUGCUCCAUCAUCUAGUGAAAGUGGUUUAGACAUGAUUAGGACUGAGCAGGCCCUCAUGUUAUAUGAAAAAUGGCUCAAAUGCCCAUGGUCCCCUUCUGGCUACUCUGAUUUCCCUUCCCCAGCCUGCACCUAUGCUCUCCUGGGGAGUUCCCUAUGAUCAGUUGACAUAGGAAGAGAAGAAGCCUCAGGCCUGGUUUACAGUUGGGUCUGCACAGUAUGCAGUCACCACCUGAAAGUGGACAGCUGCAGUGCUAUUAUUCAUUUUUGGGACCUCCCUGAGGAACAGUGGUGAAGGGAAAUACUCCCAGUGAGAAGAACUUAGAGCAGUGCACCUGACUGCUCACUUUACAUGGAAGAAGAAUUGGUUGGACAUGUAAUUAUAUACCGAUUCAUGGGCUGUUGAUAAUGGUUUGGUUGGAUAGAAGAAACAUGAUUAGAAAACUAGUGAUGAGAAAAUUUGAGAAGAGGCAUGUGGAUAGUCCUUUCUGAAUGGGCAAAAAUGAUGAAGAUACUUGUUUCCUUUGUGAAUGUUCACCAAAGGGUGACCUCAGCAGAGGAAAAUUUUAAUAAUCUAGAGGAUGAAAUGACACAUUCUGUGGAUACCAGCCAGCCUCUAUCCUCACCCACACCUGUCAAUAACCAAAGUGCUCAUGGACAAAGUGGCCAUGGUGGCAGGGAUGGAGGUAAUACAUAGGGUAAGCCACAUGGACUUCUGCUCACCCAGGCUGAUCUGGCUACAAGCACUGCUGAGUACCCAACCUGACUGCUGCAAAGACCAAUGACAAGCCCCAUAUGGCACUAUUUCUUGGGGCUAUCAGCCAGCUACCUGGUGGCAAGUUGAUUACAAUGUACUACUUCCAUCAUGAAGGGCCAGCACUUUUACUAACUGGAGUAGACACUCUGGAUACAGUUUUGCCUUCCUUACAAGCAAUGCUUCCUCCAAAACUACCUUUUGUGGGCUUAAAAAAUGCCUUAUCUACUGUUACGUAUUCCACAUAGCAUUGUUUCUGACCAAGGAACUCACUUGGCAGCAAUUGUGGUGAGCCUGUGCUUCAGAAUUCACUGGUCUUACCAGGUUUCCCACUGUCCUCAAAGCAGCUGGCUUGAUAGAAUGGUCAAAUGGCCCUUUGAAGACUCAGUUACAGUGUUAGCUUGAUGACAAUACCUUGUAGAGCUGGGACAAUGUUUUUGAGAUUGUUUUAUUCUUUCUCAUUUGUGUCUAUAUGUGCUAUUUCUCUCAGAGCCAGGAUUCAUAUCAGGAAACAAAGGGUGGGGACAGGAGUGGCACUACUCAUCAUUACCUCUGGUGACCCACUGGCAAAAUUUUUGCUUCCUGUUCCCAGGACCUUAUGCUCUGCUGGCCUAGAGGUUUUAGUUCCAGAGGGAGGGAUGCUUCCAUCAGGAGACACAGGGAGAAUUUCACUGAAAUGAAAGUUAAGACUGCCCCUUGGUUAUGGGGCUCCUCAGGCCUCUGAAUAUAUAGGCAAAGAAGGCAGUUACUGUGCUGGCUGGAAUGACUGAUGCCAACUAGCAACAGGAAAGUGGAGGCCUACUCCACAUAGAGGUGAGGAAGAACAUGUCUGGAAUAUGAGGUCCCUUAAGGCUUUUCUUAAUGUCACCAUGCCCUGUGGUUAAUUUUAUAUAUAUUUUAUUUUUUUAAACUCAAUAAAUUUUAUAAUAUUUAUAGUUGUUCAACGAUCAUCAUAAUCCAAUUUUACAGCAUUUCCAUCUCAAACAACCAGCCUGCCCCUUCCCCCAACCUGUCUCCUUUAGUAAUCCUAAAUUUCUCAAAGUCUGUGAGUUAGUAUCUGUUCUGCAAAGAAGUUCAUUUGUAUCCUUUUUUAAAGAUUCCACACAUAAAUGAAAGCAUUUGAUGUUGGUGUCUCACUGAGUAACUUCACUUAGCAUGCUAAUUUCUAGGCCCGUCCAUGUUGCUGCAAAUGCCAUUAAUUCAUUCUUUUUUAUGGCUUAGUAAUAUUCCAUUGUGUAUAUGUACCACAUCUUCCUUAUCCACUCCUCUGUUGAUGGACACUUAGGUUGCUUCCAUGUCUUGGCUAUUGCAUAUAGUGCUGCAAUGAAUAUUUGGGUACGUGUAUCUUUUCAAGUCAUGGUUUUCUCUGGAUAGAUGCCCAAGAGUAGGACUGCUGAAUCAAAUGGUAAUUCUAUUUUUAGUUUUUUGAGGAAUCUCCAUACUGUUUUCCACAGUGGUUUCACUGAUUUACAUUCACCCCCAACAGUGUAAAACGGUUCCCUUUUCUCCACACCCUCUCCAGCAUUUAGUGUUUGUAGACUUUUUGAUGGUCACUCUGGCUGGCAUAAGGUGGUAUCUCAUAGUAGUUUCGAUUUGCAUUUCUGUAAUAAUUAGUGAUAUUGAACAUCUUUUCACGUGUUUUUGGCCAUCUGUAUGUAUCUGUUUAGAUCUUUUGCCCAUUUUUUGAUGGGGUUGUUUGAGUGUUUUUGGUAUUGAGCUGCAGGAGGUGUUUAUGUAUUUUGGAGAUUAAUCCCCUGUCAGUCCCUUCAUUUGCAGAGAUUUUCUCCCAUUCUCUGGGUUGUCUUUUCAUUUCGUUUAGGGUUUCCUUUGCUGUACAAAACUUUUAAGUUUAAUUAGGUCCCAUUUGUUUAUUUUUGUUUUUAUUGUCAUUGCUCUAGAAAGUGGAUCUGAGAAGAUGUUGCUGUGGUUUAUGUCAGAAAGUAUUUGGCCUAUGUUUUCCUCUAAGUUUUACAGUAUCCAGUCUUAUAUCUAGGUCUUUAAUCCAUUUUGAGUUUAUUUUUACAUAGGGUGUUAGGAAGUGUUCUAAUUUCACUCUUUUCCAUGUGGCUGUCCAGUUUCCCCAGCACCACUUAUUGAAAGGACUAUCUUUUCUCCAUUGUAUAUUCUUGCUUCCUUUGUCAUAGGCCCAUUAGUCAGAAAUACAGAAUAGACAGUAUAAGAAGCUAUUUAUAUAUGCCAGCUAUGACCAUAUGAUCAGCUAUAGAAAUGACUGUAAUUUCCAUGAGUAUUUUCUCUGUAUUUUAUCAUGAAUAAAGGCCAGCUCCUUUCUAAUGGGAGGGAGGCCAAUACCAUUAAUUCACUCUGGCCGAUGAAAACAUGAGGAAGCAGAAUGACUGUGCAGAAAAGUAUGUUAACCUGCCGAUGACAUCCUGAGGAGGAGCUGAGCCUGGUGGACAGGAGCUCCUAUGCCUGGAGCAGCUGAAAAUUGUCCCCUCUAGCCAGCAUCCUGGAGACUCUUGGCAAGGCCCUGAAUCCCUUACCUGCUGCUGGUAACUAACUGUGAUUGAGGGUACUUGCUGCCUGGAAGAAAAGACCUGCUGGUGGCUGGAGCCCUUGGGAUUCUAACACACCUUUGUUGAUGACUUUGCUACUCCCUGACUGAAAUUGGAGACACCUGCCCUGUGCCAACACCUGCUGGGUGCUCUUGGCCUUCAAAUGGUGGAGGACAGUGCCCUAGAACAAGGCCUAGUGUUGCCAGCCCUGCCUAGCAUGGUGGCCUGUCCCUGCUGUUCAACAGUGUUCUGAUUCCUAUCUGGAGGGCAGGAGCAUCAGGGCACCCUCACCCUGCUCACUCAGGUCCUUCAGUAUCCAGUGUGAUGCAAAAGCUCCCUGCUUAGACCCCUUGGGAAAACAAAACAAAACAAAACUGUCUUCAGCUGAGAAGUAGUUACUAUCCAUCAGUGUGCUAGCUGUU
rnacentral:lncRNA from 1 species